rnacentral:rRNA from 1 species
CCCUUAUAGUUUGGAUCUUGGCUCAGGACAAACGCUGGCGGCGCGCCUAACACUUGCAAGUCAAACGAGCGAGAGAUAGCUUGCUUUUCUCGAGCGAGUGGCGAACGGGUGAGUAACGCGUGAGGGACCUGCCUCAGAGAGGGGGACAACAGUUGGAAACGACUGCUAUUACCGCAUAAGCCCACGGUGCCGCAUGGCACAGAGGGAAAAGGAGCAAUCCGCUUUGAGAUGGCCUCGCGUCCGAUUAGCUAGUUGGUGAGGUAACGGCCCACCAAGGCGACGAUCGGUAGCCGGACUGAGAGGUUGAACGGCCACAUUGGGACUGAGACACGGCCCAGACUCCUACGGGAGGCAGCAGUGGGGAAUAUUGCACAAUGGGGGAAACCCUGAUGCAGCGACGCCGCGUGGAGGAAGAAGGUCUUCGGAUUGUAAACUCCUGUUGUUGAGGAAGAUAAUGACGGUACUCAGCAAGGAAGUGACGGCUAACUACGUGCCAGCAGCCGCGGUAAAACGUAGGUCACAAGCGUUGUCCGGAAUUACUGGGUGUAAAGGGAGCGCAGGCGGGAAGACAAGUUGGAAGUGAAAUCCAUGGGCUCAACCCAUGAACUGCUUUCAAAACUGUUUUUCUUGAGUAGUGCAGAGGUAGGCGGAAUUCCCGGUGUAGCGGUGGAAUGCGUAGAUAUCGGGAGGAACACCAGUGGCGAAGGCGGCCUACUGGGCACCAACUGACGCUGAGGCUCGAAAGUGUGGGUAGCAAACAGGAUUAGAUACCCUGGUAGUCCACACUGUAAAC